AAAAAAAAAAAAAAAGUUUGAAUGUUUUAGAUUGAUGUAAGAAUUCCCAAAAUGAAGACAUUUUCCAAAAUGAAGAAAAUAAGCACUGAACCUUCUGCAUUUCUAUGACACAAAAACAAGCCUUCAGAAUCCAAUGGGAAAGACAUAUUGUGGGCUUUGCAGUGAUAAGGGCUCUGCAUCCCAAGUAGACAGAGCAGUUCACUGUGCCAGAAGUGUGGCUUCUAUUGCAAGUGAUGAUUCGUCUUAGAUUAGGUACGCAUGUCUUCAUAGAAUCAUUGAGUGGCUUGGGUUGGAAGGGACCUCAAGGAUCAUCAAGUCCAACCCCCUGCCAUGGCAGGGCUGAUAACCGCUAGAUCAGUAUUAGAUCAGGCUGCCCAGGGCCCCAUCCAGCCUGGCCUUGAGCACUUCCAAGAACGGGGCAUCCGCAGCCUCUCUGGACAACCUGUUCCAGCACUUUACCACUCUCUUAGUGAAGAACUUCCCCCUGACAUUCUAGGAAAUACGCUUAAUUGUUAGGAGUAAAGAGUGUAGAAAUGAGGAUUAGCUGACUGCUGUCCUGGUGGCCAAAGACUUACCAAGAAGAAAAUGAAAUUAUUGAAGUCUCAGUGAGUCAGAGAUGCCACCUACCAGCAGAAUCUAAGGGAUGUGAAACCACAUUAAGAGAUAAACAACUUGUUUUUUGUUGAACUCACUUUAUAAAGAAAUCUGUGCUAUUCUGUUUCAUUUUCCUGUAAUUCAAAAACAUUUUUUCUAUGUUCCCAGCAUAAAUGAGAGGAAGGGUCUAUAGAAGCCCUAUAACCAAGUCCACACUGUUGUCACGUGUGUUUUUACCUAAUUGCAGCAGAUGCAUUUCCUUCCCUGUUAUUAUUUUCCAACAGAAAUUGAACACAAAUUCACCCAGUCUGCUGUACGAACAACGCUUUAGCAUGGUCUAGAUUCUUGUAUCUGUAAGUUCUGAGCUUUUUCAGCGCAGCAAAGAAACAGUGGCAAUAGGGAGGAAGGAAGUAUUGAAAAGCUAGUGACUGUGAGAACCGGUUCAGUGUCUGAGGCGUAUUUAGCACUGGGAAAAGCUGGUUCAGUUCUUAGCUCCCUUUUCUCUCAUUUAAUUUGUUAUGCACUGCUGUUUUUCAUGUCUUCACAUGUCUCUAAGAUGUUAAAAAAUCUACAGAUGAAACCUGCAAGUAAAAAUAAUGCAGGUAGAAGAGCAAGUCAUGCCUUAUAGUCUACAGCUUUCUCAAUGUAGUUUAUACUAUAAACCUCUUAGUUACAUGCUAAUGUAAUAGAUGACAGUAAUUGAGGCUUUGCCUGCAGCACAUCGCUUUACAAAAGCGUAGAGAUGAGGGUAUCUGUGAUCUUAAAUUUAAAAAAUGAAUGCAUUUCUUAAGCUGGUGCAAGUAGCUAUGCCAUACCAUACUCAGCAGCAGCAGUAUUUGAACCAGGAGCUGCUUCUACCAACAUCUACCCUGUCAAGCAGGAAGACUGUCUGCAAUCAAUUGCUUGCACCAAUAGCUCACAUUUAUGAGAGGGACCAUAGUGCUCAUCUAUGUUGAAUAUAGCACAUGAUGAGAGGACACACUGCUGAACGCUCUCUAUACUGCUCUUUAAAUAACCACAAGAAUGGAAAACAAGCAUUUUGAGAACAUCUGUUGGGUCUGCCUCAUUGCAGCACAGCUGCCCUAACAGCUCCCAGGUGUUCCCAGUUCUUAGGCUGUAUGUUAGCACCUGAUCUCAUUCCAGGUAAAGGUGUUUAGCUUGAUGUUUGCUCUUAUUGUGGGCUAAAAGGCAUUAGGUUGAAUGAAAUUUUGAAGAACAAAGGAAAGGUGCUUUCCUAAUGAAAAUUAUCCUCUCUACUGAAUUUGAAUAAGCUGUUUGCAGAUACAGGUGGGAGGGGUGGUUGGCCUGUUUGCUUGAUUUUUUUUUCUUAGUGAUAGUGUUCUUUGAAGGCAUUGGGAGGUUAAAUGCAGAUGGAUUACUGAUCUGUAGGGGAAAAAAAAGUUAUCUUUGUUGAAAAGAGGAAUAUUGCAGAGGAAAAGCAGCUUUUCAGAAAACUGGAUGAGACGCAAGUCCUUCUGUUAAGACUUGUUCUGAAACUUGGCUGCUGCAAAUGAAGUUUUAUCUGACCUGAAGCUAGAAGAGUCUUGGGGCACAUACUUCCACAAUUAAGCUGAAGGGAAGAAUGAUGGAGGUAAAUUGUGUAAUCUAACUGGCAUCCUGGAUGAGUAAGUACAAGCAAGUUAAUAGAUGUGUUCUUAAUGUUGGGAUGACUGAAUAUGAGUAAGAACCUCAGACCAUAAAUCAGGCCCUGUCAACAUCAACGCUGUAUUUUCUUCCUCUGGGAAGAGGCAACCAGAGUGGUGAUAGCUGUCUCCUGGCAGGAAGCACUGACUUGGAGGAGUUGUUGUUUGUUUUUUUUUUUAUUUUCAAAGAGGUCAUUAUAUGUUUACAGCAUUUAGAAAAGUAUCUAACAUCUUUCUCUCUUCGUCCUCUCCCCCCCCAUCACCUUUUCUUGGGGCUUGAUCGUGGCAUUUCGAAAUCAUCUUUUUAUUGGCAGAAUGACAGUUAUCUAGGGACUUGUGGAAGUUUGUGCUGUCUGGGUUAUUUUAAAAAGCAGUGAAUUCAUAUGAUAAAGCAAUAUUCUUGUAUUUAAAAGUCUAUGAUCCAAGUUUAAGAUGGGAAACAAGUAUGUUCAAAAUGAGGAGGGAAAAAAUAUAAGCUGGUAUGUAUGUAGAGAACUCAUUAGCUGGCUGGAAGAGCUUCAAACUUGAAUUGGUGGAAAUGUUAUCAGUUAAAUAAACAGAACAAGAUAGCACUACCAGCAGUAGGUACUAUUCACCCAAGCCUCCUGCAGGAGGGUGAAGCAGCUGUGCUGCUGUUUGUAGCCUUCCUUUCAGAUAGACUUGUUCUGAGAGGAUUGGACAGUGCUGAACAGAAUGCCAGCUCUUUUCUUAAAAGGCACUGGUUAGGUCUAGGAAACGGCUGAUCAGUCUGGGCUUGGAAAAAGUGGUGAAAGUAAUAAUAAAUGAUGUACUAAUGGAAACCUGAAGAAAUAUGCUGUAGAGGAAUUGAUUUAGUUUCUAGAGAGAAAGCAUGCCUUAUAAACUGCCUGGAAAGCUCCUGAAAGGAUCAGUCGGCGUCCAUGGACAUUGAGAUAGACCACAUGGCUUUCUGAAGACUUCAACAAGGCUGCUCACCACAAGCUGUUGAAGUAAGCACUUACAGGAUCGGAAGUAAGGUCUUAAUGAGGGUAAAUAGCAUGUUAAAAGCUAAGGAAAGCAGUGUUGAAGAAAGUGGUUUUAAUGGUGCUAAAGGAAGAAAGAGGUCUGCAGUGGAGCCCCUGACAGAUUUUAACAUAAAGCUACGGGCGCUGGCUUUGAGGCUCCCGCAGCGCCUUGUUGGAAGGGUGCUCUGGAAAAAGCAUCACUACACUGCUGUGAUUCAUCUUGCCUCCCGGGAGGUGUGCAUUGCUUUCUGCUGACUGCACGGGGCCCAUGGUGACUAGCUCAGCCCCAGCCAACUAGCUUUUAGUAGAGUGAAUCCCGCCCCAAAUUAAUGGGUUUAUUUCUAUCCAAGUGUAAAGGGGGGGGAUUUUCAGCACCAAAGCUUUGAAAUCAUUGUGGCUUUUAUCACUUACAUACCCUUUUGGCAUACUAAGUAUGUUUUAGGUAUAUGCAAAUCAUGGAACAUCGCAUAAUCCAGCACCAUUCCUGGUCACAUUUAGGGGAAUCAUGUAAGAGGGGAAGAGAAUCCAGUUCUUUCAUUUCUGUCAAAUGCUUUGGGAACUUUUGGACGAUUCUUCUAUCUUUCAGCAUCAAAAUCAGGUAUGAACCAAAAUGUUCCCUGCAGCACUGCUGCCCAUCUUACAUGCAAUCUCAUUUUCUUUGGAUUCUCUGAUAACUUCUUUCUGAGAGCUGUUAGAGGUCUGUGUGUAUCAGUGUAAGUGAACACAUCUUUCAUGGGACACUGGCAGGCCACGCAUGUCCUUGAGACCCAAACUGCUUACACCCGUAAGUCAUUGAACAGAAUAGCACAGUGGUGUGUUUCUCUUCCAGAGAAGAUAAUGCAACAGGAUUUUCCCCAAAGACAUGACAUUACUUCAGUGCAUUUUAUUUUCUUUGUUUGCAUCUUAAAUAAGCUCAGUUUAGCAUGGUUAUUUGUAAACUGUUCUCUUUUCUAGAAGGAAGAAAAAUACAAAUAAUUAACCAAGUGUUAAGUUCUGGGUGCAGAAAGUGUUUGCUGAACACUGUGUCUUUGAAUUGUUUUCAGUUGGAGAUGAAACCAGAAUAAGGUUUGAACUUAAGGGCAAAACACACGUAUUCAUUUUAAGGCAGAUUUAAUUUAUUCUGUUAAAAUAUGAAGAGAUGCAGUGAAUUACAAAUUAAUUAGUCAAGUCUAAUGCCUUUUUUCAGGAGAAAGGCGAAAUGCUAGCAGUGAGUGCUGUUUCCACUCGUUGUGCUGCUGCUUUUUCCUCACAGAGUACGUUUGCAAAUACCUGCUCUAGUUGUUUUGAACUGCACAGCAACCCUGUCGCAUUUCCUGUUAAAAUGAGCAAACUGAACUUUGCAGCCUGUGUGCAUCGCUCUGUAACAGCAGCCCGAGUGAUGCUUUCCUUGGCCAGAUGGCGACAAGGGUGUGUGAGCCACGGCUCCUGAACUCAGGCUGAACCUCACAAGCAGGAUGAUGCUGCUAUGGGCCCUGCGUGGGCUGGCGACACAGCUGUCUCUGGCCUCGGGGCCUGGCCGUGUAUGGAGCAAUGGCCUGUCGGGAGGAGAUUGCUUGUUAUUGCUGCCAAGCACUGGGGAAGGUCAUUGGCUUGGCUGCAGCAUCGUCAAGCUGAAAAGUUGCCUGAUGUGGUCGCCUAUUCAGCACAGGCUUUUCUGUGCGAUUUCUUUUUUACAGUAUUCUUUACCUCUUAUAUACUGCCUUUACCUGCUGUUUGGUAGUGGGGUCUGGGGCUGUGAAAUCAUGAGGAAAUAAUCUUUAGCUUGUUUUCCACCUCUUUAUUUAGUUAUUUAUUUUUUCCCUGCUAACGAGGUCUUAAGUCUUUCCAGAUUUUAGGGGAGGGGAUGGGUCUUCAUGAUGCGAAGGAAUUUUAACAUAACUCUCACCAAUGGAAAAGCUCUUAAUAAGUGGUGAAAACUUUGGCCCCUGUGUGAGCAUUCAGUCCUUGGUACCCUUAAAACUUUCCACACGAGAGCUUUCCAGUCAUCUGCGUAUAGCUCUCCAAAAAUAUUGCUGUGAUCUCAUCCAGUAAAAUAACCCUGGUCAGUGCUGGCCCAAAUGCUCAGUUAGGAUGUAUCAGCUGCAGGGCCAUAGGGCUAUGGCCAGCAUACACUCUACCGAAUGAAGGAGUAAUGCCAUUAAGUCAACAUAGGCAGAAACUUUGUCCUCUAUGUGGUAGAGGGUGAUGAAAUGUGUUGAGUUGGUGGCUCUGCAAGGCAGUGUGUGUGGCAGGCAGCAGCUUGUGGGCCCAAUGUCAUGGGGGCAAGGCUUUUGAGAUAGCUAGGCAUUUUUACCCCCAGCAAUGAGAAGUCCUAUUUUUCUACAUCCAGGCCAUACUGGCUCUGGGAAGGUCCUGUGCAUGUUGGACCGUUCAUUUUCUAUCACCAAGCACCUCAGAACUGACAUUUUCUUUCAGUUAACUGCUGUAUCAUGAAGUUAUGUAUCAUGAAGCAAUCUAUAGAGUAAUUUAUAAAUCUGCAAGUGAAUAGCUACUUAAUUAGUUAGGAAUAGUCAUCAGUAGCAACACAGCCUACUAGCUGCUCUUGUGUUUCCUCUUUGGCAGAAACCUGAGUAGCUUCUCUGCAACCCCAAAUUUUUCUGAAAAAGUGGGGAAGUUGGGAAUUUGAGAAACUUGAUCUUGUUUUCUGAAGUUGUACAAUGUAACUGUGUAACAGCAUCCUCAGCUCUGAGCUUCACCAGAAGUGAAAGUAGGACAAUCCAAUCACCUUUAGCCCUGUGGUUUGGUGGAGAUAGACGAGGAUUUAUGCUACUCCACAAGAUAUAGAAUAUCCCAAGUUGAAGGGUUCUCACAAGGGUUGUGGCAUCCAGAUCCUGGCUUCACACAGGACUAUCCAAAAUUCAAUCCCUGUGUUUGAGAGCAUUGUGCAAAUGCUCUUUGAACUCCAGCAGCUCUGGGAUGUGCCCACUGCUCUGGGCAGCCUGUUCCAUAUCCACUGCCCUGUGGUGCAGAACCAAGAUUUUCAAUCAAAAUGGCAAUAGUUAAGGAAUCUUUUUCUUGUCUUGGAUAUAUGAUGUGCUCUAUAUAGGAGUGUCUUUUUAUUUUAUGUUACUUUAUACAUAGCUAGUCAGUCUUUGGCCCUCAUUACUAUUUUUUCUGUUAUUAAACCCUAGGGUGUAAAACAUAGUCUCCAAAUCUACAUAAAUAAAGACAAAUAUUUUCAGCUGAGUGGAGUGAUCAAAUUGUGUUGAGGGAGUUUGAAUCUAGGCACAGUGAUGUCAUUCAACUGCUGUUUGAUUUUUUUUUUUUUUUUUUUUUAAGGAAAAAAUGGAAAAGAAUAUGUAAUUGUGCCAUAAUUAUAUGGGGUAUACGUGUUGAAACCCUGAAAAUAUUUAGAAGCACCUGUUGGAUAGGCAAAAUUUUAGGCAGCUACACACCAUUGAUUUGGUGAGUUCUGUUCUGGGGGCUGUUGGUGGCUUUUUCAGGUUAAGUGCAUCUGCAUGUAUUUGCCAGACUGAGGUCAUUUGCAGUCCAGCACAUGGCUGUGCUUAUUGUUUGGAAGGUAGAGUUAGAGAUAAAAUCAGUUGGAUUAAAAUCUGAGAGAACACAUAAUUUUGUUGUGAUAUUAGCUUAUAAGGAAACAUUUUUGCCAUAAAUUGUACCGUAUAAAUUUCUAUUUGUAGUCCCAGAUUGGAGCACCAGCUGUGUCUAUCACUGGAAUGAUCUAGUUAACAAUGCGUGUCGGAGAAAAUUAUAGCAUAAUUUAUUCAUAUUUCUUAGAAUAGCAGAAAUAAGGCAGAAAUCCAUGUGAGUGUAGACAAAGAUGUUGUCCUAUUCUAUUGCCUAUCCAAAGAUGCAAAGAGAAAAUCCUGUUGUGAUGGAUGAUAAAGGAAAAGCAUAUUAAAGUGUAAGUUCCGAUCCAAGUCAGAAAAAAGCAUGCAGUUCAGGUAGAAAUAGCUGAUAGAACCUGCCAGUCAGUUUAUGAGCAGCUAGAAAUGUAGCACAAUGCAGUUUUCCUACUCUGAGCUUUUGGGUGUGUGGGGAAUGAACUUAAGAUUGAUUUAGUCAAGCCUGGAGAAAGAUGGCUAAAAAUCAAGAUCCCUUUAUAUUUCUUAUGUCAGUGUUUAGCUGUGCUUUCUGUCAAGGCUUUUCUUUAAUCUUUCAGUGGGAGACGUUGGCCAGAAGAAAACAAGGAGUCUAAGAUUUAUGUCGUAUCUUGCAAUAGCUAUGCCUUGGCUCGCAACAAAGCAGAAAAUGAACAGUGCUUCUUCAAGCUGAUACAACAUUGAGAGAGCCCUUACUCACUAAGACAUUGCAGAAUGGUAUGAAGAAGCUAGUGUUUCAAGUUGAGUGAUAUCAGGGCAUUUUGUGAGCUUUUGUGUUUUUUGAUGCAGAUCUUGAAAGCACCACUAAAAAGCACUUGUGUUGGCGAUCAUUCUGUAGUUAAAAUAAA